rnacentral:tRNA from 1 species
CUCAAGGUAGUAGAAUAUAAUACGUUGGAGUUAAGGUCCGAAAAUAACAUUUUUGUUUCUUGAGA